UGGGGAAUUUUGGACAAUGGGCGAAAGCCUGAUCCAGCAAUGCCGCGUGUGUGAAGAAGGCCUUCGGGUUGUAAAGCACUUUUGUCCGGAAAGAAAUCCUUGGCUCUAAUACAGUCGGGGGAUGACGGUACCGGAAGAAUAAGCACCGGCUAACUACGUGCCAGCAGCCGCGGUAAUACGUAGGGUGCAAGCGUUAAUCGGAAUUACUGGGCGUAAAGCGUGCGCAGGCGGUUUGCUAAGACCGAUGUGAAAUCCCCGGGCUCAACCUGGGAACUGCAUUGGUGACUGGCAGGCUAGAGUAUGGCAGAGGGGGGUAGAAUUCCACGUGUAGCAGUGAAAUGCGUAGAGAUGUGGAGGAAUACCGAUGGCGAAGGCAGCCCCCUGGGCCAAUACUGACGCUCAUGCACGAAAGCGUGGGGGAGCAAACAGGAUUAGAUACCCUGGUAGUCCACGCCCUAAACGAUGUCAACUAGUUGUUGGGGAUUCAUUUCCUUAGUAACGUAGCUAACGCGUGAAGUUGACCGCCUGGGGGAGUACGGUCGCAAGAUUAAAACUUAAAUGAAUUGACGGGGU
rnacentral:rRNA from 1 species